GACGAACGCUGGCGGCGUGCUUAACACAUGCAAGUCGAACGGAAAGGCCCUGCUUUUGUGGGGUGCUCGAGUGGCGAACGGGUGAGUAACACGUGAGUAACCUGCCCUUGACUUUGGGAUAACUUCAGGAAACUGGGGCUAAUACCGGAUAGGAGCUCCUGCUGCAUGGUGGGGGUUGGAAAGUUUCGGCGGUUGGGGAUGGACUCGCGGCUUAUCAGCUUGUUGGUGGGGUAGUGGCUUACCAAGGCUUUGACGGGUAGCCGGCCUGAGAGGGUGACCGGCCACAUUGGGCCUGAGAUGCGGCCCAGACUCCUACGGGAGGCAGCAGUGGGGAAUAUUGCACAAUGGGCGGAAGCCUGAUGCAGCAACGCCGCGUGCGGGAUGACGGCCUUCGGGUUGUAAACCGCUUUCGCCUGUGACGAAGCGUGAGUGACGGUAAUGGGUAAAGAAGCACCGGCUAACUACGUG
rnacentral:rRNA from 1 species